CAGUUCUCUAGAAUAUAAUGCAAUAGUUAUCCAUGAGAACUGCGUAAACCUAUGGUAAAUGGUAGUUACCGAUGAGGAUAUUCAUUAAAGUCCUUCCAAACUGCACCAAAAGAGAAGUUACUCUCAAUCUUGCUAGUUUAAAGGAACUAUUAUGAUUGAAACUAAAUGUCAUACUCACAUACCUCGUAGAAUAUACCUUGCAAUUUUCAGAAGUUUGUUAUUUAAAUGCCUUUCAGUUGUUACGUAAAGCCCGAUUAAUGACCGAUUUAAAUUCCCUGGCCAAUUAUCCGUUGUUUUGAGAGCAAACUCAUUAACCGGUGUCAUGUUCUAAGCAAGAAUUUCGAUGAAACCUCUAAAGGUUCAAUUAGGUGUGCCGUAGCAAUCACCAUACCAAUAGCUUUAAUCACAUCUAAUGUUAUCGAUUAGCGGCCAAAGCCAUACACAAUUGUUAUAUAUAAUUUCUGCAAAAAAUUUCAAAUAUAGAAAUGUAUAAAUCAAAUAUAACAAGUUAAAAAGUA